UUUAUUAUUAAAAGGGUAUAGCAACUAAAAAUAGGCUGGAAUCUCUGUAUGUCUUUAAUAAAUGUAAUUCUGUAAAUAAAACGUGGGUUAAUUAUAUAAGAAAGCUGCCAUUAGGCCACAAGGUUACAUAGAUGA